GAACGAACAUAAACAUUUUUCACUCUUUUUCAUUAGCUCUGCCUCAGUUGAAGUAAGCUGAGGGAAAUCACAUUAUAUACAUUCGAUGAACAUAAUUUAUCAUCACAAACGGUUUUGGCGUGAACAGCACAAAACUUCCAUUCCUCUUUUGCUCUCAGUGCGUAUUUUCCGUUUCAUUCAAAUUCGGGAUAUUGAAUUUGGUGCCGUUGCCGCAUUCACAUCUCUCUUGCCCUCAAAGUCUGUCGAUAAAAGCGUUAGUCAUUUAAAACCGCCUUUCAAAAGGCACUCAAUCAAACGAAGCGUUUGCAUUCAUUUUUAUUCAGAGUAGUGUAGAUUUUGCGAAAUAAAAGGAAGUCGAGAGAAAAAAAAGACGGCCGAGAAUCCAUUUGAUCGAUUAUUCGAAGCGAUUUCAAAGAAGAAAUUAUCAAUUUACGAUAAAAAUGCCAAGUAUUAGCGAGAAUAAGACAUCCGGCCAGAGUGCACGACAAAUUCUACAAGAAAUCAUCCGGGUUCGCAAUCAAAUCCAAGAACUGAAAAAAACCGAAGCUCGCAUGAUGGAUGAUGCUAAAACAGAGAGACGACAAUCAAGAUGGGAUGAAAAGAACCAACCAAGAAGAAGCAUGUGAUGACAAAAUGGAAUUUAUUGAAGAAAAUAUUUCUUAUUUUAUGCGACCGUUACAUUGUUGGCAAAACUAACAAAAAACAAAACAGAUCUUCAAAAAUCUGGGGCAAUAUCGGUG